AGUACGAAGGGACACAGCGACAGACUUCUUCACUGAAGGAAAGGCCCUGCUCACAAUGCCUCAGGCGAUUUGUACAAGGUCUUCUGUAACAACUGGGAAAACAAAGAGGAACACAUCUGUUAAAGACCAAGGAUGACAGUGACACUUUUCUGGGACAAAGUGAAGACAGAUUCCUAUGUGGCCUCUUCUCCGGGAGGACUUUUCUUUGGUAUUCUGCGUGUGCCCUUCAAAAGCUCAGUUACUGUAGCUUGUGACAGCAGUGUUCUUCGUAUCGACUUCAAACCUCCUUUUCUCAAUAGCUAUCAUCACUGGCCUGAUUCCCUGUGUCACCCUCAUAAUCAGUCUUCUGAGUUGCUAUAUAGAUGCCUCCACUUGCCAGACAUCACAGGAACCCUUGAUCAAUACUCACUAAAUGAUGGUGUCACUCAUUUAAUCUGGUUUAUCACUAAAAAUAAAAUCCACCUACCAACAUGGAGGAUUGCGA